rnacentral:rRNA from 1 species
GAUGAACGCUGGCGGCGUGCCUAAUACAUGCAAGUCGAGCGAACAGACGAGGAGCUUGCUCCUCUGACGUUAGCGGCGGACGGGUGGGUAACAGGUGGAUAACCUACCUAUAAGACUGGGAUAACUUCGGGAAACCGGAUCGAAUACCGGAUAAUAUAUUGAACCGCAUGGUUCAAUAGUGAAAGACGGCUUUGCUGUCACUUUUAGAUGGAUCCGCGCCGCAUUAACUAGUUGGUAAGGUAACGGCUUACCAAGGCAAUGAUGCGUAGCCGACCUGAGAGGGUGCGAAGCAACACUGGAACAGAGACACGGUACAGUAUCCUAAAGGAGGCAGCACUAGAAACUAUUCCGACAUGCGCAAAAGCUUGACGGAGCAUCACCGCGUGAAUGAUGAACGUCUUCGGAUCCUAAAACACUGUUAUUAGGAAAGAAAAAAUGUGUAAGUAAAUAUGCACGUCUUGACGGUCCCUAAUCAGCCAGCCACGGCUCACUACGUG